ACAAACGACCAUACCUACUGGAGAACUCGGGAUCCCGUCCGCUCUCCCAUAGAUAAGCCAGUAAGGGUCGGACGAGUAGUUGGGUGGGUGACCACCAGCGAAUCCCUGAUGUAUGUUUUUU
rfam:Verticillium longisporum isolate VL1 genome assembly, contig: scaffold_49